rnacentral:rRNA from 1 species
UACAGAGGUCUCAAGCGUUGUUCGGAUUCAUUGGGCGUAAAGGGUGCGUAGGUGGCGCUGUAAGUCGGGUGUGAAAUUUCGGAGUUUAACUCCGAAACUGCAUUCGAUACUGCGGUGCUUGAGGACUGGAGAGGAGACUGGAAUUCCAUGUGUAGCGGUGAAAUGCGUAGAGAUAUGGAGGAACACCAGUGGCGAAGGCGACUUUCUGGUCUGUAACUGACACUGAGGCGCGAAAGCGUGGGGAGCAAACAGG